AUUCCAGCUCCAAUAGCGUAUACUAAAGUUGUUGCAGUUAAAAAGCUCGUAGUUGAAUUUCUGGUCGUGGCGACCGGUCCGCCCCUCACGGGGUGUGCACCUGGUCUCUGCGUCCAUCCUCGGGGAGAGCGCGUCUGGCAUUCAGUUGUCGGGCGCGGGAUCCUCGUCAUUUACUGUGAGCAAAAUAGAGUGUUCAAAGCAGGCUUAGGCCGUUGAAUACAUUAGCAUGGAAUAAUAAGAUAGGACCUUGGUCUAUUUUGUUGGUUUGCAUUCCAAGGUAAUGAUUAAUAGGGAUAGUUGGGGGUAUUCGUAUUCAAUUGUCAGAGGUGAAAUUCUUGGAUUUAUGGAAGACGAACUACUGCGAAAGCAUUUACCAAGGAUGUUUUCAUUG
rnacentral:rRNA from 1 species